rnacentral:lncRNA from 11 species
AACUAAUGUAAUUCGAUUGUUAGAGUAUUCCAAAGUUUAUUUAAGAAACGUGGAUAAUGAAAGCACAAACAAAUGUAGAAUAUAAAAGUCCACUCUUGCUCCCAAUACUUCAAUUUUGGAAAAUAGUAAUAUAAAUAAUAUUUAUUGAAAUUUCAUAAUAUUUUCUGAGGUUUGGUCCGAUGGUAGAUGCUAUGGUAAAAUGUAGCAUAGAUACCUCACUGAACGAUACGCUAUGGUACCCCGGUUGUUCAGUCGUAGCUAAUAGAUAUAUUUGCAACGUUCUGAGCGUAAUUCCGCGCGUUUUACCUGCGUUCGUCAUAGAUAUAUUUUUAAGACUCCGAGGUUGUAAACCAAUAACUUCUCAGAAAUAGCAAUAAGCUGUUCUCAUCAUUUUUCAUUUUUUACCAUACACGAGUGAACUUUCCAAAGGGAUAACUGUUCCGACUUGGCGAGGAAGGUGAAAAUGUUACACGACCAUUUGCGAUAUGAUCAAACUAGAUUUCCGGGAUAUGGAUUGGGAGAAUUAUGGUGUAAUUUACCAGAUGGGAAUUAAGAAAUUUAUUCUGAAAGAAGAGUUUAAGUCAACAGCCCGACAACGAUUAUCAAGGUUGCACUGGAUACAUCAGAUAAUAAUAAUAAUAAUUUUGCUAUGGAUAAUGUUAUAAUUAGUGUACUGACUAUUUGAAUGCUACUUUUUUCUCUUUGAACCAAGAACAAUGUAAAUAGAAUUUUAUAAAGAAGGGAUUCAUCAUUGCUUUCAUUUUGUCUUUCUACUCGUUUGAUUUCUAAAUAUAUUCAUUUAUGACAUUGCUUAAUAUGGAUUACAGAGAUCAUUAUGGGAUAACAACAAUAACAAAUUAAUGAAAACUCCUCUGAGCAAUGGACAAUGACGAUAAAAAAAUAUCUUUUAAAAUAAGAUAGUUCUAAAAGCUCAUUUUGGUUUCUGAAUUGUUUGUUCACAAACCUUGUAGUUCUUUCACCAAUCGGCGUUAAAAUAUAUAACAUCAUGGAUGAAAUAGCGAACAGACGUGAUAGUCAGAGCUGAACGAAACAUUCCUUCACAUAACAAGUAGUAAAUAGUGUACGUAGGAAGUGGUGUUAACCUCCAAUAACCUUGACAUUCACAUAUGUUAUCAAGAUUAUCAAGUUAUGUAUUAGCCCUCGCUCGUUGUUUGUUAUAAAAUGAUUAAGAAAUUAUUUUGCAUAGAAAGAACGUGUCUUCUCGACACUGGGUGCAUACUGUAGGGAUCACGAUAUAAUAUAUACAUGUUUUAUACUGAUAUCCCUGCAUCUAUCGUUGAUAUAUUAUUCAAUAUCAUUAUUCACAAUCAGUUUAUCGUGCAAUCAGUCAGUCACUUACACAACUUCUAAAGGAAGAGUUUCACGAAAUUUCGAAAUGCGUUUGUACGAAUUCAUUAGCGCACUCCUUUUGUCAUAAUGAAUGUCGAAUAACAUACGAAUGACAGAAGUUUCUAACUUCAUACGCCUUAUUUUAUAGAUUUUUCCAAACUGUACAUUUGUCAAAUUAUCUGAAAAAUCAUUAUAUAUCUUUCUAUAAGCGAAAAGCCUGUUUUCUGUACUUCCGUGUCUCUUCUUAGCAAUGACAUUCAACUUCUCACGGGUUUUAAAGACAUACAUAUCCUUUUCAAUGACCUUGCGGAUCAUCUCAUGUAAUAAAAUGUAAAUUUCGAAUGUCUGGGGCGGUCUGUUCUACUUCACCUUCGCCUGUGGAAAGAGAAAUUGCAUAUAACGACCAUAAAUCAUGCGUGGUAAACUACUAUGGGUUGGAUACUAAUUUUGAUUAUUCGAAGAGAAACUAGAGAUACAAUGUGUUAUAGUCACGUAAAAUCACAGAAUAUCACAAACUACGAGAGUGUCUAAAAUUUUUACGGUCAUGUAUGUGCCACGUCAUAAACCGUAAGGAGCUUUUUGUCUUUCUUUUUUAAAUAAAGUUUGAUAUCUCAAAGGUGGUUCGAAAGAGUUUGCUACGUACGAUAAACUUUGCUUAACUUUCAAGAAAAUAUUAGUAUUGUAAUCUUAAAGUGUUAAGGACUAUAAUUACUCCGCAAAAUGAAAUAAAAUUUACUCUUUGAGGAAUAAUACAAGAAGAAUCGAUUUCUGGAGAUUGCGAAUGGCUUUUAUAAUCUUACAAUCGAAAGAUUAUAGAUAAAGAUUAUAAUGCGGUAUUCGUUCGGAGAACUUUGUGGUAUUAAUGGGCCAUGUUCAGAUGAUAAAAGGGUUUUAUCAGAUACGUAACACGUGCCUGAUGACUUCAUUUAUGUAGAAUCGACGAAAACAAAGAUUAUGUAAUAAACAUUAUAAUAUAUAACGAUAUGUUAUAAUGUUAUGUAAUAUUGUAGGAAUAUUUGAACUUUAUGAAUGUGAAUUUUCAUGAAAAUUGAGUAACAUUUAACAACAAAACUUGACGAUAUAAUUCAGUGAAAUUUAGUUACUUAGUGAUAAAUUAUGUACAGAAACAUGCACGGUAUGUACAUAUAUUGGAAUUGGAAAAAUCACGAAAGUGUGUAAUUGCAAAUUACAAAAAUUAAAGAAAAUUAUACCAAGUAACAAGAACUAGACAAAGAUUAGAAAAUUAUUUACUAUUCAGUAAUGCAUAUUGAAUGAUUGAUGUAUAAUCUGAAACUUUCAAGAAACAGAUUCUCUAUGUCCUUUAUACCUUGUGUGAAGCGGUGGACGUAAACAAGCACACGAGGUAAAGGAAUAUUUUAAUUUAAAAUGUUUCAGGAGUU